AUGAAGUUGGAUUCGCUAGUAAUCGCGCAUCAGCCAUGGCGCGGUGAAUACGCUCCCGGGCCUUGUACACACCGCCCGUCAAGCCAUGGGAGCUGGGGGUGCCUGAAGUUCGUGACCGCAAGGAUCGACCUAGGGCAAAACCGGUGACUGGGGCUAAGUCGUAACAAGGUAUC
rnacentral:rRNA from 1 species